UGAAGGAAAGAGAACAGGGUGGUGCCUCAGCUGGAAGAUAAUGCCUGAGAACCAAACCAGCUGAAAUGAUGACGUCUCCACUCAGCUCCAACAUGUCUGGAUCUGCUUCAGGCUAUUUGUUAAGCAAACUUCUCAGCAGGACCAAAGACAGGAGGCCAAACACUGAGGUCAUCACGGAGUAUACUAUUCAUUUCAGCAGGAGGCUGUGUGUUUUUAAGUGUGGUUCAGAUGCUGUCGAUGAUUCCCUAAGGAUGAGAAUCAUAUUUUAAAACUGACUGGUAUACUGUUGAGUGAAAAGGCAGAUAGGAGCAAAUUAGGCACAUGAAAGGAGGGUAUGCCAGGUAAUUAGACCUCUUAUUUUGAUGGCUGAGAACUUGCUGCAAGAAAUGCAUGAUGCUGAUUCAUCUGCAAAAUUCCUCUCUUUUUGUAGGAGUAAUGACUGACAGCAUUUUUUAAAUUUUUGACAGCAGUAAAGGGAAAUUUAUUAUUUGGGGAGUUUGUAGAAAAUGACCCGUCAAAUUCCACAGAGCAAGAAAUAAAUGAAAAAGAAUGUCCCGGACACACCUCCUGCAAAUCCCUCUUGCCCUUUGUCAAGAAUUAUAUAAAAAAACAAAAAAAAAUCCAACAGCUCUUAAACUUUUGUGCCAGAGUCUAGCAUGGAGGCAAGAAGAAAAACAAAGUCUAUGUCUAAUUUUAAACCAGAGACAUGGCUGUUUGUGGCUGGUUGUUUAGACUCAGUCGCAUGCUUGUGGAAGAGGGUAUUUUAAUUGUGGACUUUGUUGUAAACUGGGUCAGUCUCUUUUGUGCGUAUGGCAUGCCCAUUUGUCGCCCCAUAAAGAGUUCUGCUGAAGUUCUGUGGUUUAUGGUGGAUUCAAAUAGCAACAGAUGCAUGAAGCCACAAUAAGCAAAUGAAUUUGAGGACAAAUGGCUGUAAAAUCAAAAUAUUAAAGCUGUUUGCAUGCAGAGCUCAAAUGCACAGACCUCACAUGAAUGCAUCAGUGAGACUUCAAAGAGCAGACAGGAUGCUGUGAGCACAGGUUGAAACUUAAAGCAGUGAUGGAGGGAAAAGAAACCAAACUCACCUGUCUCCCCUUGAUCCCAAACUCUCACUAGGUCUGUUUGGGAGACCCAGAGCAGUAGCAUCACCAAACUCAAACACAUGUUGAGCUGCUGAAAAUAAAAAAUAAAUACACAAGUAACCCUU